GACGAACGCUGGCGGCGUGCCUAAUACAUGCAAGUCGAACGCUUCUUUCCUCCCGAGUGCUUGCACUCGAUUGGCAAGAGGAGUGGCGGACGGGUGAGUAACACGUGGGUAACCUACCCAUCAGAGGGGGAUAACACUUGGAAACAGGUGCUAAUACCGCAUAACAGUUUAUGCCGCAUGGCAUACGAGUGAAAGGCGCUUUCGGGUGUCGCUGAUGGAUGGACCCGCGGUGCAUUAGCUAGUUGGUGAGGUAACGGCUCACCAAGGCCACGAUGCAUAGCCGACCUGAGAGGGUGAACGGCCACACUGGGACUGAGACACGGCCCAGACUCCUACGGGAGGCAGCAGUAGGGAAUCUUCGGCAAUGGACGAAAGUCUGACCGAGCAACGCCGCGUGAGUGAAGAAGGUUUUCGGAUCUUAAAACUCUGUUGUUAGAGAAGAACAAGGACGUUAGUAACUGAACGUCUCCUGACGGUAUCUAAACAGAAAGCCACGGCUAACUACGUG
rnacentral:rRNA from 1 species